rnacentral:rRNA from 1 species
GAUGAACGCUGGCGGCGUGCCUAACACAUGCAAGUCGAGCGAAGCACUUUGCUUAGAUUCUUCGGAUGAAGAGGAUUGUGACUGAGCGGCGGACGGGUGAGUAACGCGUGGGUAACCUGCCUCAUACAGGGGGAUAACAGUUAGAAAUGACUGCUAAUACCGCAUAAGACCACAGCACCGCAUGGUGCGGGGGUAAAAACUCCGGUGGUAUGAGAUGGACCCGCGUCUGAUUAGCUAGUUGGUAAGGUAACGGCUUACCAAGGCGACGAUCAGUAGCCGACCUGAGAGGGUGACCGGCCACAUUGGGACUGAGACACGGCCCAAACUCCUACGGGAGGCAGCAGUGGGGAAUAUUGCACAAUGGGGGAAACCCUGAUGCAGCGACGCCGCGUGAGCGAAGAAGUAUUUCGGUAUGUAAAGCUCUAUCAGCAGGGAAGAAGAAUGACGGUACCUGACUAAGAAGCACCGGCUAAAUACGUGCCAGCAGCCGCGGUAAUACGUAUGGUGCAAGCGUUAUCCGGAUUUACUGGGUGUAAAGGGAGCGCAGGCGGUGCGGCAAGUCUGAUGUGAAAGCCCGGGGCUCAACCCCGGUACUGCAUUGGAAACUGUCGUACUAGAGUAUCGGAGGGGUAAGUGGAAUUCCUAGUGUAGCGGUGAAAUGCGUAGAUAUUAGGAGGAACACC